UACGUAGGGGGCAAGCGUUGUCCGGAUUUAUUGGGCGUAAAGCGCGUGUAGGCGGCCACACAGGUCCGUUGUGAAAACCUGAGGCUUAAACCUCGGAGACGUCGAUGGAAACCCGUAUGGCUAGAGUCCGGAAGAGGAGAGUGGAAGUUCCUGGUGUAGCGGUGAAAUGCGCAGAUAUCAGGAGGAACACCCCUGGCGAAAAGCGGCUCUCUGGGACCGGGUAUCUGAGGUGACGAAGACGUGGGGGAGCGA
rnacentral:rRNA from 1 species